rnacentral:rRNA from 1 species
UGGGGAAUAUUGGGCAAUGGACGAAAGUCUGACCCAGCAACGCCGCGUGAAGGAAGAAGGCUUUCGGGUUGUAAACUUCUUUUAAGGGGGAAGAGUAGAAGACGGUACCCCUUGAAUAAGCCACGGCUAACUACGUGCCAGCAGCCGCGGUAAUACGGAGGGUGCGAGCGUUAAUCGGAAUCACUGGGCGUAAAGCGCACGUAGGCUGUUUGUCAAGUCAGAGGUGAAAUCCCACGGCCCAACCGUGGAACUGCCUUUGAAACUGGCAGACUUGAGUGUCGGAGAGGGUGGCGGAAUUCCAGGUGUAGGAGUGAAAUCCGUAGAUAUCUGGAGGAACACCGGUGGCGAAGGCGGCCACCUGGACGAUAACUGACGCGGAGGUGCGAAAGCGUGGGUAGCAAACA